AUUGAACGCUGGCGGCAUGCUUUACACAUGCGAGUCGAACGGUAACAGGGAGCUUGCUCCGCUGACGAGUGGCGAACGGGUGAGUAAUGCGUCGGAACGUGCCGAGUAGUGGGGGAUAACGCAGCGAAAGUUGUGCUAAUACCGCAUACGUACUGAGGUAGAAAGUGGGGGACCUUCGGGCCUCACGCUAUUCGAGCGGCCGACGUCUGAUUAGCUAGUAGGUGAGGUAAAGGCUCACCAAGGCGACGAUGAGUAGCGGGUCUGAGAGGAUGAUCAGCCGCACUGGGGAUGAGACACGGCCCCGACUCCUACGGGGGGCAGCAGUGGGGAAUUUUGGACAAUGGGCGAAAGCCUGAUCCAGCCAUGCCGCGUGUCUGAAGAAGGCCUUCGGGUUGUAAAGAACUUUUGUCGGGGAGGAAAUCCCCAGCGCUAAUACCGCUGGGGGAUGACAGUACCUGAAGAAUAAGCACCGGCUAACUACGUGCCAGCCGCCGCAGUAAUAC
rnacentral:rRNA from 1 species